AACGAACGCUGGCGGCAGGCUUAACACAUGCAAGUCGAACGCAUCGCAAGAUGAGUGGCAGACGGGUGAGUAACGCGUGGGAACAUACCCUUUUCUACGGAAUAGCUCUAGGAAACUGGAAUUAAUACCGUAUACGCCCUACGGGGGAAAGAUUUAUCGGGGAAGGAUUGGCCCGCGUUGGAUUAGCUAGUUGGUGGGGUAAAGGCCUACCAAGGCGACGACCCAUAGCUGGUCUGAGAGGAUGAUCAGCCACAUUGGGACUGAGACACGGCCCAAACUCCUACGGGAGGCAGCAGUGGGGAAUAUUGGACAAUGGGCGCAAGCCUGAUCCAGCCAUGCCGCGUGAGUGAUGAAGGCCUUAGGGUUGUAAAGCUCUUUCACCGAUGAAGAUAAUGACGGUAGUCGGAGAAGAAGCCCCGGCUAACUUCGUGCCAGCCGCCGCCGUAACAC
rnacentral:rRNA from 1 species